GUUUUUCCUCAAAAUAUAUAUGAUAUUGGAAAUAUUUCAAAAUUAGGGAAAAACCCAUGAAACUUUGAGAAACACCGACACAGUUACUCAAAGAAUUCCAAGUGAAUUUCAAAGUUGAGGCCAAACUAGCUCAUCUGAAAACAUAAUUGACUUAGAGAAUGUUUCCAGUUUGAUUAUUUUUACCUUUGAACUUGAAAUUAAUUUAAAAUUCACUUUGAA